UACGUAGGGGGCAAGCGUUGUCCGGAUUUAUUGGGCGUAAAGAGCGUGUAGGCGGCCAGACAGGUCAGCUGUGAAAACUCGAGGCUCAACCUCGAGACGUCGGUUGAAACCGUCUGGCUAGAGUCCGGAAGAGGAGAGUGGAAUUCCCGGUGUAGCGGUGAAAUGCGCAGAUAUCGGGAAGAACAUCGGUGGCGAAAGCGCUCUACUGGACCGCAACUGACACUCAGGGACGAAAGCUAGGGGAGCGAAUGGG
rnacentral:rRNA from 1 species